rnacentral:rRNA from 1 species
ACUCCUACGGGAGGCAGCAGUGGGAAUAUUGCACAAUGGGGGAAACCCUGAUGCAGCCAUGCCGCGUGUGUGAAGAAGGCCUUCGGGUUGUAAAGCACUUUCAGUAGGGAGGAAGGUAGUGUAGUUAACACCUGCAUUAUUUGACGUUACCUACAGAAGAAGCACCGGCUAACUCCGUGCCAGCAGCCGCGGUAAUACGGAGGGUGCGAGCGUUAAUCGGAAUUACUGGGCGUAAAGCGCGUGUAGGUGGCUUGUUAAGCCAGAUGUGAAAGCCCCGGCUCAAGCCUGGGAACUGGCAAUUUGGACUGGCAGGUCGUAGAG